AGCAGAGAUAAACAGGCUUUAGACAAAAUGAGCAGCUCAGCAAAGGCGAAAGAACAGGAAAGAGCUACUCUGUGAAUAAACAACGAGAAGUUCCUUUCCUUGUGGAUGUUUGAUCAGGGUGAUAUUAUUGUUGUUAUACUGUGUACAUGAACAAGGAAGAUUCCCACAGAACUGAAAUGAAGGCUUCCUAGAGGAGAUGAUUCCUGAGACAUAAGACAAAACCAAGACAAAAAUGGAAAGGGCAUUCCAGUGGAGAGGGAAAAAUGGACAAAAACACAGAAAAGAAAAAGCAGCAACCAGAAGACCACUGUGUGAACAAAACACUCUGAAGGAUGAACUGGGGAGGUUCUACUUUCUGGUUUGGUUUGGUGAAAAGUCAUUUCAAGGAGUAAAAGUUGAGUACAAUAUUUCUGGAGAUACUUCCUCAAAACAGAUGAAUAGAAUAAUACCGUUUCUCUUCAAGACAUCUGUGUUCUGAUCUUGGCGAGCUGUGAGUAAAAUAUGUCAUCUUUUAUCUCAUGGAUGCAAUUUGGUUACAAAUAUGAAGAUGUCAAACUUGAGAAUCCUAAAAGGUAAAACGAGAAUGAUAGAAUCAGAGUCAUGAAUGUUAGACUUUGAGAACAGAAAGAAACUAAGACAGUGGUGGUUUCUGCUUUCUGGGGGCGAAAAUGACAAGGAAACAGAUUCUCCACUGAAGCCUUUGAAAAGUGCACUCCUGAAUAUUCUUAAAUCUGGACUCACUCAGUCUCACUCAGUUCAAUGAGUGUGCCUUCUCCCAGAACUUCUUCCCAUCCUAUUUCCUGGCUCCCAGCUCCCUUAUAUAAAUCUCUUCCUCCCAAAGGCUAGGCUUGAGGUUAGGUAUGGUAAUUCCCCCAGAAGUUGAGGAUAGUUUUCCUUUUCCUGUGUUUUUUGUUAUUCCAAAUGAAUUUGCACAUUUCUCUUUCUAACUCUGUGAAGAAUUGACUUAGGAUUGUGAUGGGAUUACAUUGUGUCUGUAGAUUGAUUUUGACAAGAUGGCCAUUUUUACUAUAUUAAUCCUGCCAAUCCAUGAGCAUGGGACAUCUUUCAAUCUUCCAAGAUCUUCAAUUUCUUUCUUCAGAGACUUGAAGUUCUUGUCAUACAGACCUUUCACUUGCUUGGUUAGAGUUACACCGAGGUCUUUUAUAUUAUUUGUGACUAUUGUGAAGGGUGUUGUUUCCCUAAUUUCUUUCUCAGCCUCCUUAUCCUUUGAGUAGAGGAAGGCUACUGACUUGUUUCAGUUAAUUUUUUAUCCAUCCACUUUAAUGAAGUUAUCAGGUUUAGAAGUUCUCUGGUGGAAUUGUUGGGGUCACUUAAGAAUACUGUCAUCUACAAAUAGUGAUAUUUUGACUUCUUCCUUUGCAAUUUAUGCAACUACUCUAGAAAUCAGUUUGAAGGUUCCUCAGAAAAUUGGACAUAGUACUACCUGAAGACUCGACUAUACCACUACUGGGCAUAUACCCAAAAAAUGCUCCAACAUAUAUCAAGGACACAAGCUCCACUAUGUUCAUAGCAGCCUUAUUUAUAUAGCCAGAAGCUGGAAAGAACCCAGAUGUCCUUCAAUAGAGGAAUGGGUAAAGAAAAUGUGGUAUAUCUACACAAUGGAGUACUACUCAGCUAUUGAAAACAAUGACUUCAUGAAAUUCAAAGGCAGAUGGAUGGAACUCGAAAAUAUCCUGAGUGAGGUAACCCAAUUACAAAAGAAUAUACUUGGUAUGCACUCACUAAUAAGCUAAUAUUAGCCCAAAUCUCAAAAUACCCAAGAUACAAUUCACAAACCACAUGAAGCUCAAGAAGCAAGACCAAAGUGUGGAUGCUUCGGACCUUAGAAUACUCAAUGGAGGAAAUAUAGAGAAAAAGUGUGGAGCAGAAUCUGAAGGAAAGGUCAUCUAGAGACUGUCCCACUUGGGAGAUUCAUCCCAUAUACAGACACCUAACCCAGACAGUAUUGCAGAUGCAAAAAAGUGCAUGCUGACAGGAGCCUGAUAUAGCUGUCUCCUGAGAGAUUUUGCCAGAGCAUGCAUGACUAAUACAGAGACGAAUGCUCACAGCCAACCUUUGGACUGAGAACGGGGUCCCCAGUGGAGGAGUUAAAGACCGAUGUAGCUGAAGGGGUUUGCAACCCUAUAGAAAAAACAACAAUAUCAACCAACCAGACCUUCCCAGAGCUCCUAGAGACUAAACCACCAUCCCAAGAGUAUUCAGAGAUGAACCUAUGACUCCAGCUGCAUAUGUAGGAGAGGAUAGCAGUGUCAGGCAUCAAUGGGAGGAGAGGCCCUUGGUCCUGUCAAGACUUGAUGCCCCAGUGCAGGCGAAUGUCAGGGUGAGGAGCUGGGAGGAAGUGGAUGUGUGGGUAAGGGAACAGGCUCAUAAAAGCAGGGGGAGGGGAGAUGGAAUGGUGGGUUUUUGGAGGGGAAACUGGGAAAGGGAUAACAUUUAAAAUGUAAGUUUAAAAAUCCAAUAAAAGAGAGGAAAAAAUAAA